UCGAGAAUCUUCGGCAAUGGACGCAAGUCUGACCGAGCGACGCCGCGUGCGGGAUGAAGGCCUUCGGGUUGUAAACCGCUGUCAGAGGGGAUGAAGUGUACGGGAGUUAUCUCCUGUAUUUGACAGAGCCUCAGAGGAAGCACGGGCUAAGUUCGUGCCAGCAGCCGCGGUAAUACGAACUGUGCGAACGUUAUUCGGACUCACUGGGCUUAAAGGGUGCGUAGGCGGCUGCCUAAGUCAGGGGUGAAA
rnacentral:rRNA from 1 species